AGCCGUGUGGUGAGCACAAAACAACAUAUUCUUUCGCCUUUUACUAAAGAAUAAUGUGUGCUCGCCACAGACAAUGACAUAAGCCAAUAAGUUUUAUGUAAUAUGAGUUUCAA